rnacentral:rRNA from 1 species
UACGUAGGGUGCAAGCGUUAAUCGGAAUUACUGGGCGUAAAGCGUGCGCAGGCGGCUUUGCAAGACAGAUGUGAAAUCCCCCGGGCUUAACCUGGGAACUGCAUUUGUGACUGCAUGGCUGGAGUGCGGCAGAGGGGGGGAUGGAAUUCCGCGUGUAGCAGUGAAAUGCGUAGAGAUCCGGAGGAACACCAAUGGCGAAGGCAGUGCCCCUGG